AUACGGAGGAUCCGAGCGUUAUCAGGAUUGAUUGGGUUUAAAGGGGGCGCAGGCGGCCAUUUAAGUCAGCGGUUAAAUAGUGGGGCUCAACCCCAUUCUGCCGUUGAUACUGGGUGGCUUGAUUGCGGUCAAGGUUGGCGGAAGUCGUUGUGUAGCGGUGCAAUGCAUAGAUAUGACGAAGAACACCGAUUGCGUAGGCAGCUGACCAGACCGCAAAUGACGCUCAUGCACGAAAGUGCGGGGAUCGAACAGGAUUAGAUACCCUGGUAGUCCGCACAGUAAACGAUGAAUACUUGUUUUCGGCGAUAUAAUGUCGGAGGCAAAGCGAAAGCGAUAAGUAUUCCACCUGGGGAGUACGCCGGCAACGGUGAAACUCAAAUGAAUUGACGGGG
rnacentral:rRNA from 1 species